rnacentral:rRNA from 1 species
UGGGGAAUCUUGGACAAUGGGGGCAACCCUGAUGGUGCAACGCCGCGUGGAGGAUGACGGUCUUCGGAUUGUAAACUCCUGUCAUCUGGGAGUAAGACCUGGUCGUUAAUAGCGGACAGGGUUGAUAGUACCAGAAGAGGAAGGGACGGCUAACUUCGUGCCAGCAGCCGCGGUAAUACGAAGGUCCCGAGCGUUGUUCGGAAUCACUGGGCGUAAAGGGAGCGUAGGCGGCGUGGUAAGUCUGAGGUG